GAAGUGUUCUCGGCGCUGUUGUGGCGCAUUCGUUCAGUAGACAUCAAGUUGAAAGCAUCCAGUGCAUUUCCGCCUCCUGACUUUGCUUUGGUUUCAAGUUUCGUUUCAACCUAAAAUAUCAGCCAGAAUGAAGGUUUACAUGUGCCUGCUUCUCCUGAUGGUCGUUGGAUGUGCCUUGUGUUUUGCAGAGAAAUUUCUUGCCGAGAAGUUGAUGCAAGACCUGGAAUCUCGCGGAAUAGUGAAGAAGGGGAAGUCUUGCACAACUCAGGCCGAAUGUGGUUUUCCACAGUAUUAUUGUGCUAAACGUGUCCGUUUCUCUCCGGGCGUUUGCAGAGAGCUCAUUGGUAAAAGACGCUAGGAAUUCUGAAAAUCAACAUGAAUGAAUUAAACCAUGAUCGUCAGUGGUUAACCGACAGCAAGGCUUUAUUCUGAUUCAAUAAGAUUUGACAUUAAUUCAUUUUUCUUCUUUCCUGGUAAGAUUGUCUCAUUUUUGUUAACAAUACUGGGUCGGUGUUCCAGCCAGUUUUUUCCAUUGAUUCCGUGACAGUGCUGUGCACUUGUAAAGGCUGCUCACUCUGAAUUUAAAAAGCACUUUUGAAAUCAAAAUGAAACAAAAAAUAUAGGUAAUCGAUCCGUGAAUACUGACAUAUAUUAAACGAUCGGCACAUUUGAUUUUUUUUUUACAGAACGCAUACAAAUCUUAAAGAUAAAUUCUUCUCAUCAUGUAAAUGGCACGAAAAGUGAGCUCGAAUACGGACUUAAUUAUUAUUUCCUCUGUUUGGUGUAUUAAAACAAUAUACGUUUGUUUCUGUCUGUAAUAAUUUUGUUCUUGUGCUUUUGGGGUAUCGGUGUUGCGUGGUUAUCAUUAUCCGUGAUGAUGGGUAAAAUCCACUUUUAAAAUAUCCAUUAAUAUUCUUCCUGCUUGUAUCGUGUAAGCAGGACUGGGAUAUGGAAACGUUUGCAUCCAAGGAUUUUUUUUUGUGGAAAGGGCGGAACACAAGCCCAGAAAAAACAUAAGAAGGUUACUUUCUAAAUUGGCACACUUCUUUGUCGUGAUUUCAAAUCCAAAAGACACUGAGGGUUAGCCACAAAUGUUUCAGCUUUAAGGUUAGAUUGGAAUACUCGUUUAUGUAAUGUUUUUGGUCUUCUUGGUAUUUUGGGUAUUACAUUGGUGCAUGGUUAUCAUUAUCCGUGAUAAUGGGUAAAAUCCAAUUUUAUUUUACGCGCCAACUGUCACAACUCUAGAUGGGGCCAUUACCGUAAAGUUCAAGGGUGCACACAAGCUAAACUGGUUCUAUAAUACAGGAAGAUGUUCACAUGCGAUCUUAUUUUUCUCGCUGUUGACUAAUAAAGUCAUACUAUUCCUUUAAAAAUGAUUGUUGCCUUAUCUUUUAAAACCUGCCAUUUUGUUGUGUAAAAUACUCAGCCAUAAAUUAUGUACAUCUUUGUUACAAAACACAGAUAGGCUGUCCUUGAUGGAAUUUAUUCUCAUAACAGGUGUUUGUUCACUGUAAAAGAAGAUCCAAUUCUUCAAACAGGACUUUGAAAUCAUUCGUUAUUAAUUGAACGUAUGCUAUCUCUUAUCCCUUUUCAUCCUUCGAUGCUUUCUCUUUUGUAAACGUACUGUGAAUGAUACAGCU
rnacentral:lncRNA from 1 species